UGCGGGGUGGAGCAGCUGGUUAGCUCGCAAGGUUCAUACCCUUGAGGUCGCAGGUUCGAGUCCUGCUCCCGCUA
rnacentral:tRNA from 1 species